GUAUACUUCACUCUCACUGUUCUAUAAAUAUCGUUCAGGUGCUGGAUCUGCUGUAUCUAAGCAACAGUUAUUACUCCAAGCAAGAAUGCUUUUCUUACAAUUUUUUUUUCAUGUCAUAGAAUGUUCCGUUCAUUUCUUAAUUUCUAUGACCUAAAAAGAAGUUGUGAUUCUUAUUCUGUGUGUGACAUGACAGGAAGCACUAUAGGUGUAGCACAUCAAAAGGCUGCAGAGCGAGGGAACACAUUGAUAAAAGCCCAAAGGCUCAAAACCUUUUCGUGGUCGCUUAUUCCGGUGAACACAAACAUCCUCCACCCACUAACUGAAGCUGUCUAUCUGGGCGGAGGAUGGUUAUGUUCACCGAGAUAGGCCACCAAGCCGAAGCUGUCUCUCUGGACGCUGCACCUGCGGUGCCAAAUCCAAGAUUCCAGAAGGAAAAAUAUUGUGCCCAGAGCAUUAAGCUUUACUUCUUCGUCAUCCAAAGGCUCUUGACGUUCAAGUGCUUCUCCAAUUAGCCCCAAAACGCCUGAAAUCCAGAGCAUGUCACCUAAUAAGAAAAUAGAAAUGGUAGCUGAGGAGGAGAAAGUUGUUCUGAUUCCGAACAAAUUCGUGAGUGAUGAUAUUCUCAAGAGUGUACUUUUCUUUGUGUUAAUGCAAUGAGUGAUUUUAUUGAAAUUAAAUUGAUCCGGAAAUUUUUCAUAACUGACAAAUUUAUGGUCCAUGACAUUAACUGGUUUUGAGUUUGAUUUUAUGAUAUGUGCCUUCUUCCUCUCAGGAAUCCUGUUGCCGUUUAACUGCAUCCAAACGGUCAUUUGAGAGUUGGAAUUUGGCAUGAAAAAUCUUGCUUUGUGUUCUAGAGGCUGGGAUAUGUGUGUUUAAAUUACUGUUUUAUUUUGAUGUUUCCAGAAUGGUGGGCGAUUAUGGUGAGCUUUAUAGACAUUUUAAUUGGUGCAACACAUUUGGUACUUUACAGAUCAACACAUCACUUUAAUAAAGUUACGUCAGAUUUGGACCCAGAUACCAAAUUCUUAAUGAACUUUGUGGUACGAAAGAUGUGUUGAUUAUUUCAUCUAUAUUUGGCAAACCAUAUUCAUCGGGUUUUCUCUGUGUUUUGCUAUAUGGUUUUGUUCAUCAGAUGGGCCCAACGGUGUACCAGAGCAUAGAUGAAAUCUGCUGCAGCGUUUAACAUAUCCAGCUUCGCAAGGCUGGGGAUUCGUCACAGGAUGUGGGAACUGUCAACAAGUUGGCACAGCGGCUUCAGAGCAUAUCAGACCGUGAAGAAUUCAGAGGCAGCGGUUUUGAGGCAUGCGAUGAUGGCACGAAUCACUUCAAAAAUAUCAUCUGAUGAAGGUGCAGGUACUUUGGAGCGAGUCUCUGGUGAAGAAGAUAAACGUGAAACGAUAUCCAAGGUCAGAGAGGAGGUGGUGGCCUCAACUGGAGAUGGAUGGUUAAUCGGCAGAACCGGGGCUGUAGUUUGCAGAAAUAUCUUCAAAAAUUGUGUUUGAUUUCCUCCGCAAUCAUAACACUAGGCGCGAGUGAGACAUUCUCUUGAAUGGGGGUGAUAUUCAUGAAGUUGCUCAUAUUGCUAGUGGCAGGGAAACAAGCAACCGUGUCUCCUUAUUGAGAGUCAACGUAAGGACAUUUAAAUCUUCAAUUUUACUUUCUUUCCCCAUAGUUUGAUUUAUGACACUUAAUGUUUUAUUAAUGUGUCGAAGAAAUAACGUGAGAAUUCCAAUAAUUGUUUCAUGAAUUGCAGAGUCUAAACUCAGCUCAAA